rnacentral:lncRNA from 1 species
AUAUAUAUAUAUAUAUAUAUAUGUUGUCACGUCCUGGACUUCAGCGGAAGCUCACCAGCUACGUGCACAGACCCGUCGUGACACUACUAUCUCUAGUGUACACCAGGCGUCUACAAUCCAUGUAAUAAAGGUAACAUAACUUUCUAAUCAGGUAAUCAGAGCAAAAACCAAGAGUCCACAAACUUAUACUAAAACAAUUCUAACUACAGUUUAAAACAUGAAGUACAAAGUACAUCCUGAAUAGUCCCAAAAUACAUUUCUGAAUUAAACUAGAGUAAACUUGCAUCGGUUCAUCUAAUUCAAGAUCGAGUAAGCUCUAGCUAGUCGCAAAACCCUUGCCACGAACCCUAGCCCUUCCCACUGUGGAAGGCUCUGCACAAAAAUAAUUAACAAAUGGGGAUGAGAACUAUUAAACAAUAGUUUCCAGUGGGUAAGCUGCCAAGAGUGGCAAAGUACACACUAGGUCAACUGAAGCAGGAGU